AAAUUGAAGAGUUUGAUCAUGGCUCAGAUUGAACGCUGGCGGCAGGCCUAACACAUGCAAGUCGAACGGUAACAGGAAGCAGCUUGCUGCUUCGCUGACGAGUGGCGGACGGGUGAGUAAUGUCUGGGAAACUGCCUGAUGGAGGGGGAUAACUACUGGAAACGGUGGCUAAUACCGCAUAACGUCGCAAGACCAAAGAGGGGGACCUUCGGGCCUCUUGCCAUCAGAUGUGCCCAGAUGGGAUUAGCUUGUUGGUGAGGUAACGGCUCACCAAGGCGACGAUCCCUAGCUGGUCUGAGAGGAUGACCAGCCACACUGGAACUGAGACACGGUCCAGACUCCUACGGGAGGCAGCAGUGGGGAAUAUUGCACAAUGGGCGCAAGCCUGAUGCAGCCAUGCCGCG
rnacentral:rRNA from 2 species